rnacentral:rRNA from 1 species
AGAGUUUGAUCCUGGCUCAGGAUGAACGCUGGCGGCGUGCCUAACACAUGCAAGUCGAACGGAGUUACUUUAGUGAAGUUUUCGGAUGGAUCUGAUUUAACUUAGUGGCGGACGGGUGAGUAAUGCGUGAGCAACCUGCCCUUCAGAGGGGGACAACAGUUGGAAACGACUGCUAAUACCGCAUAAUGUAUUCGGAAGGCAUCUUCUGGAUACCAAAGGAGAAAUCCGCUGAUGGAUGGGCUCACGUCUGAUUAGCUAGUUGGUGAGGUAACGGCUCACCAAGGCUGCGAUCAGUAGCCGGACUGAGAGGUUGAACGGCCACAUUGGGACUGAGAUACGGCCCAGACUCCUACGGGAGGCAGCAGUGGGGAAUAUUGCACAAUGGGGGAAACCCUGAUGCAGCAACGCCGCGUGAAGGAUGACGGUUUUCGGAUUGUAAACUUCUUUUCUUAGUGACGAAGACAGUGACGGUAGCUAAGGAAUAAGCAUCGGCUAACUACGUGCCAGCAGCCGCGGUAAUACGUAGGAUGCAAGCGUUAUCCGGAUUUACUGGGUGUAAAGGGAGCGCAGGCGGGACUGCAAGUUGGAUGUGAAAUACCGUGGCUUAACCACGGAACUGCAUCCAAAACUGUAGUUCUUGAGUGAAGUAGAGGCAAGCGGAAUUCCGAGUGUAGCGGUGAAAUGCGUAGAUAUUCGGAGGAACACCAGUGGCGAAGGCGGCUUGCUGGGCUUUAACUGACGCUGAGGCUCGAAAGUGUGGGGAGCAAACAGGAUUAGAUACCCUGGUAGUCCACACUGUAAACGAUGAUUGCUAGGUGUGGGGGGUCUGACCCCCUCCGUGCCGGAGUUAACGCAAUAAGCAAUCCACCUGGGGAGUACGGCCGCAAGGUUGAAACUCACGAUCGCUGUGCAUCCACCACGGAUAUAUCCCGUGAUCUUGUUGAUAUCCUUGACAUGGAUCAUCUCCACAGACUUCUCACCUGCUGCCUUCGCUGCUUUCUUAAGAUCUAAUUCCUGAUCGAUCGGAAUGACAAAUACAAAAUACCCUCCACCUUUUCCUUCAGUCACGAGGGUUUUAAAUACUCUUUCAU